rnacentral:lncRNA from 1 species
CGGGAAAGGACUCGAGGUUUCUAACUCCUCCGCCCCGGGGGCAGCCUCCCGCCGACACAGCGUGACUGCACAGCGCAGCGCGCUCCCUCAGUCUGGUGACAGCGGCUCGCUCGAGCGGGGCCCAGGGCCGGCGUGCCAGGUCGGCGGGGUCACUGACUGCUUCGCCUUUCGAUUUAAGAAUACCUAGCGUACACCUGGUCCUCAGGACAGAAUAAGGGGGCCCGUCCUCACACGCGGCGGGCCGCCGAUGGAGCUGCCUUUAGGCACCCGGCAGGGCCGGCGCGGCUUCAGAUUGAGAGCUGCCGCCGGAGGGGCGCUGUUCUAGGCACUGUGUGGGGGAAUCCCGGGGUUUAAUCUGUUCUGAGCAGCUCUGGGCUGCAGACGCUGCCAUCCCACCGGUCUCCCCCUGGGCCGAGGGCAUACUGGGCGGGAAGCGAUUUCACGCGAGGGCCGCGGCGCCCGCCCCCGGCUGGCCUUUCUCCCCUGAUCUGGCGCCCCGGGCGUCCCGCGGCUCGGGGUGAGGGCGUUUAAGUGACCGGUGGCAGCUCGCGCUUCCCGGAAGGGCUCUGGCGGUGACUCAGGGCCGCCUCUCGAGGGGGCUCUCCGCGGGGAGGGCGCCGGGGCUGGUCGGGGGGCCUUCCCCUCACGGUGGGCUUGGCAGCGCCGGCGCCCGCGCCGCGGCAUCGAGUGACCGAGCGCACGCCAGGCCUCACGGCGCUCGGCCGGGGGACGGCCGCGCCCAGCUCCGCCACCGGACAUGGGCGACGCCUGGCUGGGCUGCCGAGGGCGGGAGCGAAACCAUUUCAUCGCGGCCCAGCGGGAGGGGCACGCCCGCCCCGUCACUUCGAGGAAGCCGGAGCCUGACAGGCCGCGCACGAGCCGGAAGGGCGGCGAGUCAGGGACCAUCCUGCGCACGCGCGGCGCCCCUCCCGCACCCGGUCGCGUUGAGCGGCUCCCUCCGCCAGCUGCCGGAUCUAAGUCGUCGGCCUUCGCCGCCGCCGGCCUGCCGCCCCCGCGCCGCCCUGACGCAGCCGGCCCGCCCUUCGCCCCCGCGGCGCCGGCUUCUUGUGACGUCGCAGCCCAGCCCUCGCGCUUCGUCCCCCGAGCGCGGCGGGGCGGCGGGGCGGCGGGGCGGCGGGGCGGCGGGGCGGCGGGGCGGCGGGGCGGCGGGGCGGGCGGGCGCUCGUGACCUGUCGGAAGCUCUGUGGGGAAGGACCCGUCUUUUGUAAUUUCCUACGGUUUCCUAAUAAGGGUGAAAAUGCGGGCACCUCUGAACUUGCAAGCUGGGAGUUCUGAUCCAAGAGUGGCAUCUGGAGAGGCUCGGUGUAAAAAGCGGUUAAAGAGCUUCCAGGAGUGGUUAAUCCUUUUGUAAGCUAUUUGAAGCCAAAAUGGAAAUCAAGAUGUGGACGAGCUGAUCACACAUGGCCACACCUUCAGGGCAAAGGUUCCUGGAUAUCACUAGAGCUCUGCAUACCGAAAAUGGUGUAAAUUCCAGACCCUGCCCAGAUGAACUGCGUCUAAAGUUACAAAUAACAUAUAUAGUGGCCAAAUUCAUUGACCGGAACUGUUUUCACAAGAAAGAUGCUGAUCAAAACAGAGUUGAACAGAAGAUGGAGUAGAAGAAAGGGAAAAUGAAUGAUUCAGUUAUUGCUAACUUGUAGGAAAUAAAUAUUUGGUAAAUAAGAAACGAACUUUUGAGAGAAAAACGUUAAUUCACUGAGAAAUAAGGAUAAUGAAUUCAUUUUAAUUGUCUGCCUAAUUUCAUACAUGUAACCUACUUCUUUCCUUGAUGUCAUAUUAUCAUGGGAUCUUUAUAAGGGACCUUGAAAUUUCAUGUGACACAUUUCAGUGAUUGCAGGUCAGAACUCAUUUCAUCCAUCCAGGGAAGUGAGAGUCUAUCUGCUCUCAAAGAAUUAGGAAGAAAGGGAUUCCAACCUGAUGGGGAAACGAAAUGAUAAGGAUUAUGAGAAUGAUCGGAUGGGGAGGGGGGCUUUUUCUGUUGCCCCGGAUUUGAAAGAAGGCCCAGAGCUAAAAACGGUAAUGGGGAUCUGAAACUUUCUCCAAAGUUUUUCUAAGGGG